CGCCCAGUACAAUGCAUCAUGGGAAUGCUGCUUCCGUCUUUUUGAGUGCACCUCUGAUUCGCUGACCAGGAGAGAGUAAAGGAGCAAGAGCGCCAGCGUCGAACCGGCUCCUGGCUCGCGGCUUCCUGCUUCCUGUCCUGUCGGGAGGACCAAAGUGAGCGCGGGAGGAUCCCUGCCCUCCUUUUCCCCACCUUGGCUCAGCCCCGUAAAGACCCUGCUCUUCCCCAGCGGCAGAUGGAGGCCAAGGAGGGCCCGACUUCUGGCUUCCUCAUGGCCCCCUUUCAGGAGCCAGUGACCUUCCGGGAUGUGGCCGUGGACUUCACCUGGGAGGAGUGGAGGGUCCUGGAGCCGGCCCAGAGGGCCCUGCACAGGGACGUGAUGCUGGAGACCUUCCAGAACCUGGUCUCUGUGGGCAUUCCUGUUUCCAGACUGGAUGUGAUCUCCCUGUUGGAGAAGCAAGAAGGAGCCUGGACUCUUGAGAGCAGAGAGUCCAGUGGGUCUCCUCAAGAUUCCCUUAGCAAUGAGAUCAAAUUUGAAACAAGGAGCUCAAGUCUGAUGCAGAACAUUUCUGUAGGAGCAUCGUCCAAGAAGAUACUACCAAAAGACACAGCCUGGAACUGCAAGAUGGAGAAAUCUAAGGAACAUGAUGUUGAUUUAGAAAACCCAAAGGACAUCCUGGAGAGAAGAUUCAGACAAAUAGCAGUCACUCCUAGAACAACUUUUAAUAAAGGAAGUGGAUCUCAGAGUAAUAUAUUUGGGAGAAGAUUUAGCUUUGGACCUGUCCUUGUUUCACUGUGGAGAGGAAUAAUGGGGAGUAGUCUGUAUAAAUAUAAGACACUUGGAAAACAUGUCAAAGAUUUUCCUGCCCUAAUUACUCGUAAUACAUUUUCCUUAGGGAAGAACUUUUUAAAGUAUAUCAAAUGCAAGAAGCCCUUUAGGUACCACUCAGACCUAAUUAAAUUUCAUAGAACACAUGCUGGAGAAAAGCAGCGUAAACAGAGAAAAUGUGCCAAAGUUGCUGGCACAAGGGCAAAUCUCAGUGAUUGUCAGAACAGAGGCAAACAUGAGUGUAAGCAAUAUGAGAAAGCCUUCCGCUACAAAGGAUGCUUGACUAAACCUAAAAGUAUCCAUAUUAGAGAGGAACCUUUUGAAUGUAAUGAAUUGGGAAAAGUCUUCAGGGAGAAGGAACAUUUUGUUCAUUUGGGAAUUCAGACCAGAGUGAAACCCUUUGAAUGUAACAAAUGUGGGAAAGUCUUCCGUGAGAGAGGAAGCUUUAAUAAACAUCAGAGAAUUCAUACUGGAGAGAAGCCAUUUGAAUGUAAUGAAUGUGGGAAGACUUUCAGUGAGAGGGGAAACUUCAAUGUACACCAGAGAAUUCAUACUGGGGAGAAGCCUUUUGAAUGUAAUCAAUGUGGAAAAGCUUUUAGACGAAAGGGAAACCUUAUUCUCCAUCAGAGGAUUCAUACUGGGGAGAAACCUUUUAAAUGUAAUGAAUGUGGGAAAGCUUUUAGCCGGAAGGGAAGUGUUAUUCUCCAUCAGAGGAUUCAUACAGGAGAGAAACCCUUUCCAUGUAAUGCAUGUGGGAAAGCUUUCAGUAGGCAGGAAGGCCUCCAUAGACAUCAAAGAAUUCAUACUGGAGAGAAACCCUUUCUGUGUAAUGAAUGUGGGAAAACCUUUCGAGGUAGAGGACAUUUUGUUGAGCAUCAGAGAACUCAUACUGGAGAGAAACCUUUUCUAUGCAAUGAAUGUGGAGAGGCUUUCAGUACAAAAGGAAGCCUCAAUAGACAUCAAAGUACUCAUACUGGAGAGAAACCCUUUACCUGUAACGAAUGUGGUAAAGCUUUUAGUACAAGGGGAAGCCUCAGUAGCCAUCAAAGCGUUCAUACUGGACAGAAACCUUUUUCAUGUAAUGAAUGUCAGGAAGCUUUUAGUACCAGGGGAAAUCUCAAUAGACACCAAAGAAUUCAUACUGGAGAGAAAACCUUUCCAUGUAAUGAAUGUGGAGAAGCUUUCACUGAGCUGGGAAGCCUCAAUAGUCAUCAAAGAAUUCACACGGGGGAGAAAUUCUUUUCAUGCAAUGAAUGUGGGAAAGCUUUUAGCCAAAAGGGAAACCUUAUUCCCCAUCAGAGGAUUCAUACUGGGGAGAAACCCUUUCAAUGUGAUGAAUGUGGGAAAGCUUUUAGCUGGAAGGGAAGUGUUAUUCUCCAUCAAAAGAUUCACACUGGUGAGAAACCAUUUCAUUGUAAUGAAUGUGGGAAAGCUUUUAGCCGUAAGGGAAGUGUUAUUCUCCAUCAGAGGAUUCACACUGGGGAGAAACCAUUUCGUUGUAACGAAUGUGGGAAAGCUUUUAGCCAAAAGGGAAGCCUUAUUCUCCAUCAGAGGAUUCAUAGUGGUGAGAAACCCUUUCCAUGUAAUGAAUGUGGGAAAGCUUUCAAUUCAAGAAAAAAAUAUAAAAGACACCAAAGAAUUCAUACUGGUGAGAAAACAUUUUCAUGUAAUAAAUGUGAGGAAGCUUUCACUGAGCUGGGAAGCCUCAAUAGACAUCAAAGAAUUCAUACUGGAAAGAAAUCCUUUUCAUGUACUGAAUGUGGGAAAGCCUUUAUUUACAGGGCAAACUUCAUUGCACAUCAGAGAAGUCAUACUGAAGCGAAACCAUUUACAUGUAGUGAAUGUGGGAAAGCCUUCAUUUGGAGAGGACAAUUUAUUGCACACCAGAGAAGUCAUAUUGUAGAAAAGCCCUUUGUAUGUAAUGAAUGUGGAAAAGCCUUCAGUUACAGGGCAAACUUUAUUGCCCAUCAGAUACUUCAUACUGGAGAAAAACGUUUUCCAUGUAAGAAAUGUGGAAAAGCCUUUAGUGUGAGAGAAAACCUUAUUGCACAUCAGAGAACUCACAUUGGAGAAAAACCCUUUACAUGUAAUGAAUGUGGGAAAGCCUUCAGUGUAAGGGGAUACUUUAUUGAACAUCAGAUGACUCAUACUGGAGAGAAACCCUUUCCAUGUAAUGAAUGUGGGAAAGCUUUCAGUAAACGGGGAAACCUCAAAAGACAUCAAAGAGUUCAUACUGGAGAGAAACCCUUUUCAUGUAAUGAAUGUGGGAAAGCCUUUAGUCAAAAGGUCAAACUUAUGACCCAUCAGAGUAUUCAUACUGGAGAGAAACCCUUUUCAUGUAAUGAAUGUGGGAAAGCAUUUAACAGGAAGGACUCUCUCAUCAGUCAUCAGAGGAUUCACUCGAGAGAAACCAUUUAAAUGUAAUGAAGGAAAGCAUUUAGGAAGAGGACAAAUCUUAACCAUCAGAAAACACAGUGGACUAAUCCUUUGCUUAUAAUAAAUGUGGGAAAGUUUUCAGCAAGAUAGGAACAUUUAAUAUGCAUCAGAGAAUACAUAGUGGAGGGAGACACUUUUCAUAUAAUUGUGGGAAAGCCUUCAAUUGGAGAACAACCUUUAUUCAUCAGAGGACUCGUACUGGAGAGAAACUUGUGUCAUGCAUGAAUGUGGGGAAAGUCUUCAACAGUUACAUUUUAAAACCAUCAGAGAACUCGAAGAAUUUAUACCUUAGAAGAAACUUUUGUAGUGAAUCUAGGUACUGCUUCAGAUGUAAGGCAAGUCUUGCUAGACAUAGAAAACUCAGACAGGAGAGAAAUCCUUCGAUUAUAAUGAAUGGAAAAGAGUUCAUCAAAACCUCAUGUCGGAGAGAAUGGGAUAUAGUGAAUUAAUCAAGCAUUAAGUUUACAUCAAUAUCAGACAAUGUGCUAAGUACUGGGGAUUCAAAGAGUCACUAAGAUCAGGAGAAUAUGGUGACCAAUCAAACUUACAUAGGUUCUGGCAAAACAGUUGAUAAAGUCUCAUGAUGACGCUCAUAGAAUUGAGCUAGACAAUAGUACAAUCACAUAGAUCUCAAAAUGGAUUUAAGGUCAGUUCUUAAGAGUAGUCACUAAUGAUUUAAUUUCAUAUUAUACAAAAAAUCCUGCAAUGAUGGGUGAUUAUGAUUUCUUGACCUACCCUGCUGCCGCCAUCUUUCCUUUGGUAUAAGUAGCUCUUGGACUUGGUGUUGAAUGGUUCAGGGUGCCAGUGAGGACCCUUUAGAGGCUGAACCUUUAGUACCAGUUGGAUAGUUGCAUUGAUCUGGGCCUGGGAGUGAAAGGUCCCACUUAAAGUGAUCUUGUUUUUGAGGUCCCAGGUCCCAGCUUUCUUAGAAGGUGAAGGUCUUGAAGAAUAUCCCCAGGAAGAAGGAUCCAACUAGGAGGAGACUCCUGAGACCUUCCACUACAGCUUGAAGGCGAUACUUGAUGGGCAGGAGCAAACCCUACAAGAAACUGGUGGCAGAGUGAUUCCUGCCAGGCCUUUGCCAUGGAGCACGUGGCCCUGCUGCCUGGGGAGAGAGCAAGCCCUAGAACAGAGAUUGAGGUCACCACCAUCAUGGAAGGUGCCCAUCAGAAGGUUCCCUUUGGAAGUUUUCCUGGGCUCCCGUUUAAGUAUCUCCCUGCUCCGAUUCCCCAAGGCCCAUCACACUGUCAAGUUUCCUAAAUGGGACAUAAGGACCCAGCAGAAUUUGGCCUCCUUGUCCCUGAAGGAAAAGUGAAGAUUUUGAAGAAUGAUCUGUGCUUGUGGGGAUUCAUCAUGGAUUUGCCUCAGUCCUGGAUCCCUUGUGCAGACUGUGCAAGUGGGACAUGAGCCGGAUGCAGCACGAUUCCUUUAGCGAAGACACUGGAUUUGAAGUCAAGAACUUGAACAUGGUGCAGAGCAUUUGCCUGAGAAGAGGCUCCCAAAUGACCAUUGCGACUUGAACGAAGCCAGGGAAUAUGAUAGGAAUUUGGAGAAAGAGAAGAGAGCCCAUGCAGAGAAGGGACCAUUCCCAGAACGACUUUGAGUAAUGGGAAUGUGCCUCAGUGUAUGGCAAUUGGGAAGAGCUUCAGCCUUGGGCCAGUCUUUGUUGGAACUAUGGAGAAAAGUCUGGAUAAAUAUGACAAGUAGAAAGAGCUUGAGAGGUUUUCAAACCUAAUUAUAUAUAAUAUAUUCUCUUUAGAGAAGAACUUUUCUAAGUAUAGCAAAGGCAAGAAACCUUUCGAAGAUCACUUAGAUUUAUUUAAGUUUCAUAGAAUA